AUGGCGGCGGCGGCGCCGGAGAUAAGGCACCGGCAGGUGGAGGCGAACGGCAUCACGAUGCACGUCGCCGAGGCCGGCCCGGCCUCCGCCGCGGCCCUCGCGGUGCUCUUCGUGCACGGCUUCCCGGAGCUCUGGUACUCGUGGCGCCACCAGAUGGAGCACCUGGCGGCCCGGGGCUACCGCUGCGUGGCCCCCGACCUCCGCGGCUACGGGGGCACCUCCGUGCCGCCCGACCCCGCCUCCUACACCGCCUUCCACGUCGUCGGCGACCUCGUCGCGCUCCUCGACGCCCUCCGCCUCCGCCAGGUGUUCGUGGUGGGGCACGACUGGGGCGCCAUCGUGUCGUGGAACCUCUGCCUGCUGCGGCCGGACCGGGUGCGCGCGCUCGUCAACCUCAGCGUCGCCUUCAACCCCCGCCACCCCUCCGCCAAGCCCCUCGACUACUUCCGCCGCGCCUACGGCGACGACUACUACGUCUGCAAAUUCCAGGAACCUGGAUAUGAAGCACAAUUUGCUAGUCUUGACUUGAAGAGGUUCUUCAAAAUGGCAAUAACUGUUCAAACCACAGGUUCUUCUGCUAUGUCCCUUAAAAAAAUGCAGUCAAGCAACAAGCAAAUAACACUGCCUUCUUGGCUCUCCGAGGAGGAUGUCAGUUACCUAGCAAGUGUAUACGCAAAAACUGGCUUUGCUGGUGGCCUUAAUUACUACCGCUGUCUAGACCUGAACUGGGAGCUGAUGGCGCCAUGGACUGGAGCGAAAGUGCAAGUGCCGACCAAGUUCAUCGUCGGGGACGGUGACCUGGCAUACCAUCACCCAGGAGUCAAAGGCUACAUACACAAGGGUGGGCUCAAGAGAGACGUGCCCAUGCUCGACGAGGUGGUGGUGAUCAAAGGUGCCGGGCACUUCAUCCAGCAGGAGAGAGCACAGGAGAUCAGUGAACACAUCUAUGAAUACAUCAAGAAGUUCAGCACAGACCCGACACGGGAAUUAUCGAAAUUGUGA
rnacentral:rRNA from 1 species